UACAGAGGUCCCAAGCGUUGUUCGGAUUCACUGGGCGUAAAGGGUGCGUAGGUGGUGGGGUAAGUUUGAUGUGAAAGCUCCGAGCUUAACUCGGAAAUGGCAUUGAAUACUAUCCUGCUUGAGGUUUGGAGGGGGGACUGGAAUUCUCGAUGUAGCAGUGAAAUGCGUAGAUAUCGAGAGGAACACCAGUGGCGAAGGCGAGUCCCUGGACAACACCUGACACUGAGGCACGAAAGCUAGGGGAGCAAACAGG
rnacentral:rRNA from 1 species